AAAUUGAAGAGUUUGAUCAUGGCUCAGAUUGAACGCUGGCGGCAGGCCUAACACAUGCAAGUCGAACGGUAACAGGAAGAAGCUUGCUUCUUUGCUGACGAGUGGCGGACGGGUGAGUAAUGUCUGGGAAACUGCCUGAUGGAGGGGGGUAACUACUGGAAACGGUAGCUAAUACCGCAUAACGUCGCAAGACCAAAGAGGGGGACCUUCGGGCCUCUUGCCAUCGGAUGUGCCCAGAUGGGAUUAGCUAGUAGGUGGGGUAACGGCUCACC
rnacentral:rRNA from 1 species